AGGGCAGUGGCUCAGUAGUAGAGCUCCCGCUUCGUAUGCGGGAAGACCUGGGUUCAAUUUCUGGCUGCUUAC
rnacentral:tRNA from 1 species